UAACUUCUUUAAACCUUUGAGCACACUCUCCAGCAGGCUUAGCCAACUCACUUUAUCACUAUAAAAGCAAAAGAAAUCAUAAAGCAACAUUCAAGAGCUUAUAUCGUAUGCUACUAUAAAUAUUUGCUAAGUAACAAACAAACAAAAAAAAAUCAUGAAAGAAUCAUAUAUUACACACAGCAAGUUGUACUGCUUCUAAGAAAAAUACAUCAAGAAACAUUUAGGGUGGCGCCUGGGUGGCUCAGUGGGUUAGGCCGCUGCCUUCGGCUCGGGUCAUGAU